ACAAUCGCUGCCACGCACGCGUGUUUAAGAUCUUUAUUCAUACGGUUGUGGGGGAGGAAAGUCCGAGCUCCGAAGGACGAAGUGCCAGGUAACGCCUGGAGGGCGUGAGCCCAUGACUAGUGCAACAGAGAACAGACCGCCAUUUUUAAUGGUAAGGGUGAAACGGCGAGGUAAGAGCUCACCGCUUUCAUAGCAAUAUGAAAGGCACGGUAAACUCCACUUGGAGCAAGAUCAAAUAGGCUCUCUAUAAUCUGGUCCGGAUUGAGAGCGGGUUGAUUGCUUGAGCUAGAGAGCGAUUUCUAGCCUAGAGGAAUGAUUGUCGCUGCUAUGCAGAACAGAACUCGGCUUACAGGUCGACUCA
rnacentral:RNase_P_RNA from 1 species